UCUAUUUUACUCGACCUUGGUCUUAGCCGAUCUCGAUCUUGAUCGGUCUCUAUUUUGCUCGACCUCUGGGUCUCGAGCUCGGUAACCUAACUUCGCAUCAUGACUUGAUAUUACACGGAGUUGAACCUUGGUCUAUCAUGUUCCAAUCUCGAUUAUUCAUACGAAAGGUAAACUCGGUUUUGACCGUAUACAUAUAGUCCCCUCGUUUCUCGGAAAGAUGAUGACGAGAAACGAUAUGAAUUUCCGAACUCUGACUCGGUGGGUGAAGACGUCAGUGAAGAGCCCGAUUAUGACAUAUGUGAUAAACGUCCCGUCAGUUUAGUUACCAAGGCAUUAAAUGCCUGUCAGUCGUUGGUCGGCCACUACCAGUUUUGAACCGUCAUUACCAGGCUAUAAGUAUUCAAACCUUCAUAUUCAUUCAAAACUUUUCACCCAAAACUUCUUAUCUACUCUUGCAUCUUCUUCAAAAAAAAUCUUUUUGCUUCACAAUUCUCACACCACAUACAACCCUAAUUCUCUUUUCCUUUGAUCAUCAAUGGCGAAAACCUCCAAAACAGUGCCGCAAAAAGAGGUCGCUUCUUCAUCACGACCUGCCGGUGGCGGGGAUGCGGCGGAGCCUCACCCUAAGAAAUUCGUUCUAGUAAGGUGCUCAACCGUCAUCGACUUUAAGGUUGAAAAACCCUCUUCGGUACCGGGCCGAUGUGAGCCGAUCUCGAGGUACUAGUACAUAAUCAAUGAGAAAAUUCUCAACAAAGUAAAAAAGGAGUGCAACUAGGGCGAAAAGCACGUGGUAGUCCCAUCGCCUGAAGAAUCAAUUACUACCCAUGUGGAGGGGUUCUUAAGUGUUUGUACUUAUCUCUUCACGUUGGGUCCCUUAGACCCUAUCAUCGUCGCCUUUUGCAAGAGACAUGACGUGACCCUCGGCCAGAUCCACCCUUCUGUUUGGAGAAUAGUGAUUCUCCUCCGAUUCUUUUCGAGCAAAGUCGAGUGGUGUCUUUUCACCCUCGAUCGCCUCAUGCGCCUUUACAGUCCCCGACUCUAUCGAGGAGGGCUAAUCAAACUUGUUUGCCGAGCCACCAAAGCACCAUUCUCGAGCAUAUACGAGACUCGUAACCAAGAUUGGAUGGGCCGAUUCGUUCGAGUUAGAACUUCGGACCUGAUCCCUGCUGAUGACAUGCCGUUUCCUAACAAAUAGAACAUGAAUCCUGUGUCCCGGAUGCCAGAACCGAUUUCGGAACUUAAAUAAUGGGUUGAAGGUCUGGUGCUAUAGAGAUCGUACUCUGAGCGUGCUUGGAUGGAACUAUCGAAGGGUUGAUGGGAGGCCCGUAGUCAUGGCUUUGGUGUUGCAUCACGAGGCUUUCCUUGGAAUUCGGGAGGAGCAUGAGGCCGAGGUUCGGAACCUCAAUGAGAAGAGUGACACCUACAAACUCCUUAGUGAGAAACUUCGGGCAGAUUUGGCAACGAAUCGGGAUGAGCAUGCCGAGAUGGCCGAGCAGGCCCGACAGAGGUUUGAACAAAUCGGACGACUCCAAACGCAGGUAGAUAUGAUACAGGCCGAGGCGGAAGAGUUUAAAAAGAACAUGGACAUUCUAGUCUCGAAAAAGGAGAUCGUCCAAGCUCAACUGGAGUCGGUCGAGACCCAGCUCUGAGCUACGAAAGAGAAGGUCUCGAUGCAGAUCAAGGAACUUCAGCAUCGGUUGGAUUUGGCCGUUUCUGAUAAGGCAAGCUUGGCCGGUGAACUCGAAGUGGCCAAAUACGAGAUGACCGAGACUAACAAAAGAGCUGAUGCUAAAAUGGCCCAGUUUAGGGUCGAUGUCGAGGUCAACCAGGCCAAGGCCAAGGGCAUGGUUGAACAUGCGAAAUGAUGGCUCGGAGGGAAGCUCUCGAAGGGGUCAGUGUCCAGGGCUUCGAUAUUGUGGCCGAAAUUGAAAAUGCCAAAGCGGAGGAAGCCAGGGCCCGAAGGCUAGCCUUCCUGAGGAAGACUCCGAGAGCAGCUCAAGUGAAUCCGAAGACGGAGAAAAUCUUGAGGAUGGUGAUGCAACCUCCGAUGAAGACGAAGCCACUUAGGACAUUAGGUUUCUUGUUUUCCUUUUGCAUUUUUUCUAAGGCCGUUUUUUGGCCGUUGUAAAUUUAGACCAAUUUGGCCUUUGUAAAAAAUUAUUGUGUAUAAAUAUAUGG